rnacentral:rRNA from 1 species
UACAGAGGGGGCAAGCGUUGUUCGGAAUUACUGGGCGUAAAGGGCGCGUAGGCGGCCUCUUAAGUCGAACGUGAAAUCCCCGGGCUCAACCCGGGAACUGCGUCCGAUACUGGGAGGCUUGAAUCCGGGAGAGGGAUGUGGAAUUCCAGGUGUAGCGGUGAAAUGCGUAGAUAUCUGGAGGAACACCGGUGGCGAAGGCGGCCCUCUGGACGGAUACUGACGCUGAGGCGCGAAAGCGUGGGGAUCAAACAGG